UCGCUGUCCCUCUGUCCAGCGCUCCAUCUUUUUCUUUCUUUCCCCGUAGCUCUGUCCGAUACCCCGUCCCUUUGUUUAGCUACUCAGUGCCCUGCCCAGUUCCCCAUCCCUCUGGUACUCUUUGCAUCCCUCUGUCAAUAUCUUCCUCCCUCCGACUGGCUCCCUAUCGCUCUAUCCAGCUCUCCAUCAUCCUUUUCCCCUCUCUGUCCCACUACCUGCCCGCUGUUCCUCUGUCCAGCUCCCCAUCCCUCUGCUGCUCUUGUCUGUCUCUUUGUACCUUUCCAGCCUCUGUCCCCCUCUCCAGCCUUCUCUUUCUAUUUCUGUCCCUCUGUUCAGCUCCCCAUCCAUCUAUUUGUCUCCCUAUCCCUCUUUUCCCCUCUUCUAUCUCAUCUCUCUGUCUGACUUCCCCUCUCUCUUUUUUUUCUCUCCACCUUUCUGGUUGGCUCUUCGUCCUUCUCACUCUCUUCCCAUUGCUCUGACUGGCUCCCUUUCCCUCUCUUCCCGUCCCCGUUCCUCUGUCUGGUUCUCCACCCUUCUCUUUUGCUUCCCGUCCCUCUGUCUUCUUCCCCUUCCCUCCUUUCCUCUCUUUAUUCUUCUGUCCACUUCUACAUCCCUCUUUUUCUCUCUUCUGCUCCCUGGUCCUCUGUCCAGCCCUCCACCUGUCUGGCCCUCUGUCCUCUUUUUCUCUUCUUCUGCUCCCUGUCCCUCUGUCCAGCUGAAGGUUCAUCAUUCCUUUGUGUUUUGUCUGGUGUGGAAGGAGUCAAGAGGCAAUUGGUGCUCAGCAGAGAUGAUCAGCAGCGACCAGAGGGUCCCAUCAAUCUGCCUGGUUCAGGUCAUGUCAGAUACCCCUGCAGCGACUCUAUGUGCAGAGGCAUGGGGCUGUUGAUGUGCAGUGGGGGAGCACUAAUGGGCCAAAGAUGCUGUGGGGGGAUGUGGUAGACAUUAGCAUGUGGUAGAGAUUAGCAGAGACUCUGAGUAUUCGGGUGUUAGGACAGGUGCAGGUAGGGCAGGGUGUGCUAGGGCAGUCUGGAGCUGCUGUUGUCCGUCUUACACGUCAGCGCAGUCUGCAGUUACUGUGUCUUGUCUGCCUGUGCACAGACAGGGCUGCUGCACGGUGCAGUUUGAGUUGUGAUUGUGUUGCUGGCAUUGAGCCCAGUUUUCUGACUUUAUGCAAACUGUUGUCUUCCCUACAUCAGCAUUACUCUGCUCCUCUUCGAGAAGCCUCCACUCGACUCUGUUUUCUGGCAUGCUGCUUUGUCACAGGGCUUCCCAGCACGGUCUGUCUGAUUUGGGCCACGUGCUAGGCAGCCUGAACGAGUGAAGCAAAAUCCUUCUUCUGUUACUGUCCAGGCCAGAGUCAGUUUCCCAUCAGCUCAGUCUCCAGAGUUUGGAGUUUUUGGAGGCCUUAGUUUCUAUCCUGCCAUGGCUGGACAGUGCUUUCUGAGAGUGUCCGUCAGCGGCACAGUUUCCCUGAGGAGGACCAUCUACCGAAGGCUGGAGGUGGCCGAGUGCCUGAGCGAGCCUGACUGUAUGUGAGGGCUGCUGUGACAUCCUUGCGAUGAAACGGAGCCUGAGAGAGUGACUGGAGCAGUGUAGAGGGUCAGUCAUAAUUGUGGGAAUAGUUACGGGCCUUGGACUAGGGAGUAGUUCUAGCAGGGCUGUGCAGUUGCCUAGCCUCUC
ensembl:lncRNA